rnacentral:rRNA from 1 species
UACGUAGGGUGCAAGCGUUGUCCGGAAUUAUUGGGCGUAAAGAGCUCGUAGGCGGCUUGUCACGUCGACUGUGAAAACCCGGGGCUCAACUCCGGGCCUGCAGUCGAUACGGGCUGGCUUGAGUGCGGUAGGGGAGACUGGAAUUCCUGGUGUAGCGGUGAAAUGCGCAGAUAUCAAGAGGAACACCGGUGGCGAAGGCGGGUCUCUGGGCCUGUACUGACGCUGAGGAGCGAAAGCGUGGGGAGCGAACAGG